rnacentral:rRNA from 1 species
GAGUUUGAUCCUGGCUCAGGAUGAACGCUGGCGGCGUGCUUAACACAUGCAAGUCGAACGAAGCGCCUUAUUUGAUUUUUCUUCGGAACUGAAGAUUUGGUGACUGAGUGGCGGACGGGUGAGUAACGCGUGGGUAACCUGCCCUGUACAGGGGGAUAACAAUCAGAAAUGACUGCUAAUACCGCAUAAGACCACAGCACCGCAUGGUGCAGGGGUAAAAACUCCGGUGGUACAGGAUGGACCCGCGUCUGAUUAGCUGGUUGGUGAGGUAACGGCUCACCAAGGCGACGAUCAGUAGCCGGCUUGAGAGAGUGAACGGCCGACAUUGGGACUGAGACACGGCCCAAACUCCUACGGGAGGCAGCAGUGGGGAAUAUUGCACAAUGGGGGAAACCCUGAUGCAGCAACGCCGCGUGAGUGAAGAGUAUUUCGGUAUGUAAAGCUCUAUCAGCAGGGAAGAAAGUGACGGGUACCUGACUAACGAAGCCCCGGCUAACCGUACGUGCCAC